GACGAACGCUGGCGGCGUGCCUAAUACAUGCAAGUAGAACGCACAGUUUAUACCGUAGCUUGCUACACCAUAAACUGUGAGUUGCGAACGGGUGAGUAACGCGUAGGUAACCUGCCUGGUAGCGGGGGAUAACUAUUGGAAACGAUAGCUAAUACCGCAUAAUAUUGAUUAUUGCAUGAUAAUUGAUUGAAAGAUGCUAUUGCAUCACUACCAGAUGGACCUGCGUUGUAUUAGCUAGUAGGUGAGGUAACGGCUCACCUAGGCGACGAUACAUAGCCGACCUGAGAGGGUGAUCGGCCACACUGGGACUGAGACACGGCCCAGACUACUACGGGAGACAGCAGGAGGGAAUCUUCGGCAAUGGACGAAAGUCUGACCGGGCAACGCCGCGUGAGUGAAGAAGGUUUUCGGGUCGUAAAGCUCAGUAGUAAGAGAAGAACGGGUGUGAGAGUGGAAAGUUCACACUGUGACGGUAUCUUACCAGAAAGGGACGGCUAACUACGUG
rnacentral:rRNA from 1 species